rnacentral:rRNA from 1 species
CUAGCGACUUCAGAGUUUGAUCCUGGCUCAGGACGAACGCUGGCGGCGUGCUUAACACAUGCAAGUCGAACGGAAGUAAGAGCUCGGUUUUACUUUAGUGGCGAACGGGUGAGUAACGCGUGAGGAACCUGCCUUUCAGUGGGGGACAACAGUUGGAAACGACUGCUAAUACCGCAUGAUACUAUUGAGUGACAUCACUUGAUAGUCAAAGAUUUAUUGCUGAAAGAUGGCCUCGCGUCUGAUUAGCUAGUUGGUGGGGUAACGGCCCACCAAGGCGACGAUCAGUAGCCGGACUGAGAGGUUGACCGGCCACAUUGGGACUGAGAUACGGCCCAG